rnacentral:rRNA from 1 species
AACUUUGAACAGUAGAUCACUCUGCUCGUACACCGAUGAAGAAUGCACUCAACUGUCAAAAUUAAUAUGAACUGCAUACUGGUUUGAACAUUGACAUUCUGAAUGUAGAUCGCGUUCAUAUAAUGUCAUUUAGAUAUGUCUGUCCGGAAGGUCG